rnacentral:lncRNA from 1 species
AUUAUUUUAUUUACUGUUUAUUGUUAAAUUUAUGAUUUAUGAAUGAGAUAAAUUUUAUAAUGGAGUUUAAUAAUUUUUGUAUCGUUUAUUUAGUGUAUAUAAAAGUUCAACAAAAAGAAAAAAAAUGAGCAACAAAAGAAUAAAGUCUGCAACAACAAAAUUUUCUUGAAAAAAACAAAGAAAGUGAAACUGUUUUUUACCACAAAAAAUUCUUGUAAGGCAUCAAAUACUAACCAAGUUUCCAGUGAAAAAAAAACUCUUGUUCAAAAACUAAUACUUCCAAUAAGUUUCACACCUCGCAAUUUAUUUCUUAAAUUAAGAAAUAUACUUCUAGUUUGUAAAUUUCUCACUCCGCAAUUUAUUUCUUAAAACAAGAAAUAUAUUUCUUGUUUGUAAAUUUGCCACCCCGCAAUUUAUUUCUUAAAACAAGAAAUAUAUUUCUUGUUUGUAAAUUUGCCACCCCGCAAUUUAUUUCUCAAAACAAGAAAUAUAUUUCUUGUUUGUAAUUUCCCACCCCGUAAUUUAUUUCUCAAAACAAGAAAUUUAUUUCUUGAGUUAAGAAAUAAAUUUCUUGAACAAUGGGUUUACGAAUUCGCUGUGAAACUUACAACGAAAAAAUAUAUUUGUUGUUUUAAGAAACAAACUUUUUACCCCGCAAUUAAAAGGAGAAAUAUAUUUCGUUUUUUAAGAAAUAUAUUUCUUAUUUCUUAAGAGUUUGCAAGGUUUUGUUCCAACCAUAAUAGAAAAUAAAUAUAUUAACAUUGAAAUCAAGUCAAAUAAUAUUGAAAUGUAGUCAUUUAAUAUUAAAAUCAAGUCAAGGUAAAUUACGGUUGUAAAAGGUGGAUGAAUAUAAAAAAAUACAUUAUUGAAUGAACAGCGGAAGAUAAACUACAGUUGUCUAAUAAACCACGGACGUUCUUAGGUUUUUUAGAAUUUUCAAGUGCUGUGUUUUGCUAAUCUAUUUUAAAUUGAAACUUAGUGCAUGUGUAGCCAAUAUUUGUUGCUUUAGAUGGAAACUCAACCUCUUUUUCUGAUAUUGUAAAACUACAACUUUAUGUUUAACAACUUUAUGUUAUUUAUAGGCGUUUAGGUAGCCCAUUAGAAUUAAAAUAUACAGCAUUUAUGUUUUGAAGAAGCUUAUAGAUUUCUGUUUUAUUUUAUAGACUAACUGUUUGGUAACUAAAAUAUGGUUUGGUAACUAGUAUGACUUGGUAACUAGUAUGGUUUGGUAACUAGUAUGGUUAAAAAAUUAUUUUUAAAAAUUGCCUAACCAGGUAAAAAAUAAAUAAAAAAAGAUGAAACGAGUCGAAAUAAAAUAGGGGGAUCUUUCAACACUAGGAAAAGCGAUAACAAUGUUAUGACUUUUCCUAGUGUUGAAAGAUUCCCUUGUUUUAUUUUGAUUUCUACUUUAUUUCUAAUUUAUUUCUACUAAAAUAUUUGCUAGCUGUUAUUAACAGUUAGCAAAUGUUUCAGUAGAAAUAUAGAAACGACUACUGUUUACAGUAAUGGUUAGUGUUUUAAUUGUUUAAUAUUUUUUAACAUUUUCGAAUUGUUACAAUAAAAAUAACGAAAGAAAGGAAGUAAGAGGCUGUCCAUUAAUUACGUCAACAAAUAUUUUGAAAUUUUUACCUUCCCCUCCCCCUUGUCAACAAUUUGUCAAAUUUCCAGAGACCCCCUUAUAAAAUUACGUCAACUUUUUAUUACCCCCCCCCCUCCCUAUACAAAGAAACUACGCUACAAACUCAGCCUAUUUUUCCGUUAUUUAAGCAAUCAAACUCAAAAAAAAAAUUGUUGAUGUCAACUUUAAUUGACUCCCCUCCUCCCCGUGUCAAUAAUUGUCAAAAAAGUUCAGACCCUCGCCCUCCCCCUAUUUUGUUGACGUAAUUAAUUGACAACCCCUAAUGACUUUAUAAUUAUAAACUUAUAAAGAUAAAAAAAGUAAUUUAUAAUAUUAUUUUACCUAUAUUUUAAUAUACAAUAAAUUUGUUUUUAAUAAUUUAAAACCUGUUGAAAAAAUUAUGGAAAAACAUUUUGUUAAUAUUCAAAAAGGCAUUUUUUUUAAAAAAAUAAAAUUCUUUAAUAAAAUCAGAAGACUUUCUUGACGAGGAAUUUUCCCGUUGAAGGCAGUGAACUUUGAGUACUGAAUAAAAAAAUCGAAUUCAGAGUGUAUUUGACACCCGUGUUUUAAAAAUCAUUUAGAGAUACUUUUCUUGAUACUUUUAGUAAUUUAUUUCAUCUUUUGAUACUUUUAGUAACUUAUUUCAUUCAAAUCAUUUAUUUAGUAAUGAAUUUACUUCAAAGAAAAGGUAAAAACAUUAAAAUUAUUUAUAGAUCUUACGUGAAGUAGGUUGAAUUUAGAACUCGGGAGUUGAGGAUUAAUUUGCAAUAAAAAAUAGGACUUAGACAACAUAGUUUAUUUUGUAUAUCAAAGAGCAGUUUACUUUCUCCAAAAGCUUUUUCAGGUUAGUUUUCUGAUUUUAACAAUACAAAAAAAAGUGUGAAACUAAGUUUUAAUACAUGAAUUGACUAAUAAAGUACAAAAAUUUAAUUAAUGAAGUUUAACUUUUAAUCAAUAGAUUUUUAAUCGUGUUAUUAUAGAAUUUCAUUUUGUUUAGAUAAAGGUUUUUAUAAUAUCAAAAAACAUAAAUAAAAUAUUCCCAAGAAAGAAAAAAUGCGGAAUUAACGAUGAUAUAAUUACAGAUGUCAUGCUAAUUAUCUAUUUAUAUCUUUUUUAGUAUUGUUGAGUAUUUUUCCUUUCGCUUAUAUUAUUUUCAUUUUAGGGCAAGCAUAAUCUUGCUGAAAUCCGGCUGACAUCUGGUUGAAAGCCUUAACAAACCAGAUAUGGAAGCACUUUGAGCUCGUUUUGGGCUAGAGGUUUUUAAAGGUACUGACGACGACGACGACGACGAGCUGCACAUUUUAGGAAACAAGAAGAAUUUGAAUAAAAUUAAAUUGUAUUAUUAA